rnacentral:rRNA from 1 species
AUUGAACGCUGGCGGCCGGCCUAACACAUGCAAGUCGAGCGAGCGGCGGACGGGUGAGUAAUGUAUGGGGACUGCCCGAUAGAGGGGAAUAACUACUGGAAACGGUGGCUAAUACCGCAUACUAUCGGAUAACCAAUAUGGGAUUAGCUAGUAGGUGGGGGAAAGGCUCACCUAGGCGACGAUCUCGAGCUGGUCUGAGAGGCUGAUCAGCCAAACGUGGACUGUGACACGGCCCAGACUCCUACGGAGGCAGCAGUGGGGAAGAUUGCACAAUGGGCGCAAGCCGGAUGCAGCCACGCCGCGUGUAUGAAGAAGUCCUUAGGGUUGUAAAGUACUUUCAGCGGGGAGGCGUUACCCGCAGAAGAAGCACCGGCUAACUCCGUGCCAGCCGCCGCGGUAAUUC